rnacentral:rRNA from 1 species
UACGUAGGUGGCAAGCGUUGUCCGGAUUUACUGGGCGUAAAGGGCGUGCAGGCGGUUUGUUAAGUGCAGGGUGAAAGCUCCCGGCUCAACUGGGAGAGGUCCUUGCAUACUGGCAAACUCGAGGGAGGCAGAGGAAAGUGGAAUUCCCGGUGUAGUGGUGAUAUGCGUAGAUAUCGGGAGGAACACCAGUGGCGAAGGCGGUUGCCUGGAGCUUUGCUGACGCUGAGGCGCGAAAGCGUGGGGAGCGAUCCGG